UGGGGAAUUUUGCACAAUGGGGGAAACCCUGAUGCAGCGACGCCGCGUGAUUUAGAAGGCCUUCGGGUUGUAAAAAUCUUUUCUAUGGGAAGAAAAUGACAGUACCAUAGGAAUAAGGACCGGCUAAUUACGUGCCAGCCGCCGCGGUAAUACGUAAGGUCCGGGCGUUGUCCGGAAUCAUUGGGCGUAAAGGGUACGUAGGCGGGUAAGCAAGUUAGAAGUGAAAUCCUAUAGCUCAACUAUAGUAAGCUUUUAGAACUGCUCAUCUUGAGGUAUGGAAUGGAAAGUGGAAUUCCUAGUGUAGCGGUGAAAUGCGCAGAUAUUAGGAGGAAUACCGGUGGCGAAGGCGACUUUCUGGCCAUAACCUGACGCUGAGGUACGAAAGCGUGGGUAGCAAACAGG
rnacentral:rRNA from 1 species